UACGUAGGGUGCAAGCGUUGUCCGGAAUCACUGGGUGUAAAGGGUCUGUAGGCGGGCAAGUAAGUCGGUGGUGAAAUCCUAUGGCUCAACCAUAGAACUGCCUCCGAAACUACUUGUCUUGAGUUCGAGAGAGGAUGAUGGAAUUCAUGGUGUAGCGGUGAAAUGCGUAGAUAUCAUGAAGAACACCAGUAGCGAAGGCGGUCAUCUGGCUCGAUACUGACGCUGAGGGACGAAAGCGUGGGUAGCAAACAGG
rnacentral:rRNA from 1 species